rnacentral:lncRNA from 1 species
GAUCAGCAGGUUGCCAUUUUACAGACAGCAUCAAGUACAAAAUGGUUAAGACACACAGUGAGGUCACCAUCCUGAGCAGGGGUGAGGAUCGAAUUACAGUGGCGUCCUUGGGAACCUAACUUCUUUCUUUUUCUAGUUGCUCCAAUUGAAGCCUUAGGAACAUCCCUUGGCACGGGUGUCUCUGGCACAGGAGGCAGAGAGGUGGAUGGAGCCUCGGUCUGGGAAAACUGCAGACUCUCACAUCCACCAGCUUCACCUUCGGAUUUGGUAAAAAUGGAGCCACUGCUCUCCCUCCCCCAACAAGAAACCAGUUUUGCUUACAAGGCUGGAAAGAUGAGGAUAUUUCACCUCCUCACUUCAGGUAAGCUACCCCUAAGUGCUCAUCUGCCUAGGACACUGCUUGUCUGAUUUUCAUUAUUUUCCCCUAAGCUGCUGAAAACCAGGUCGGGUCUGUGUGAGGUUCCACGUUCCCUUCGGAGCCCCAAAGCUGUUUCCAACUGGCAAAGUCAAGGCCAGUGAGUGUUGUUCAUUCAUCUACUUGUGGAGGCUGUCCAGGCCCCCACCCAGCCCCUGCCCACGGCAAAUUCUUCCCCAUCGGAGGACCCACCAGACCCCGGAGACCAGGAGCGAGGGGGUGGUCUCCUCCUCUCCCUGGGCUCUGCUCGGCGCUUCUGGCCCCUCAACGGGGAGGAACGAGCACACAGUGGUUGUCUGGGUUCUGAUUUGGUUCAAGAACCUCGCGAUGAUCUUCUGUGAAGUUCCUGGCUCUUCUACCCUGCUUUCUCUCUCAUUCAGCUGUUUUAUAAAAUUGAAUUCUAAUAUGGGUUUCUUCACAAUGUCGCCUUUGACCAAAAGCUAAUAAAACUCCGAACGGAAAAUUCAGAAGUAAUGGAGAUGCCACGUGACUGUAACCUAAGGUUGUUGGUCAACUUGAUUGGGUUUUGGAGCUUGUACACCAUCUGGGGGCUUCAGCCCCACCCCCUCUCCUUUGUACCAAUAAAGGAGGGCUUUGUCUUUCCUCCACCGGACGUGAGGCCUGAACCUUUCUGAGGAGUCCUGGAGACAGACAGCUUUGCAAAGACUCAGGACCAUGGCACGCCUCUCUCGAUGCCUGCGCCACCACCAGGACUCUGGGCAGAGGCACUCUGCCCUGCUCCUCCGAGCAGCUGCCUCCUCCACAAGAGCCAGAGAGACCCACUGGCCCGGCGUGGGCUCUGCUUCCUACCUGCCACCCACCCAGACAGGAGUCACAACCCUGGCCCCUUGUACAACCAGAGGCUCCUCAGACUCAAAGGGGAGGAAAGCUUUUGAGUUCAAAAGCAUGCAUAUCCUCAACAUAUAAUGUGGAUAAAUCAGAGAGAAGGACCAUGAGUUUUGCUGCAGCCUGACAUUCAUGGUUAUGGCGGAGAGCUGUCUUCUGUCAGAGAUAGUCCAGCAAUUUAUUUCUGAUUCUUGUUUUUAAUUGCAGAGAUUGGCGUUCCUAUUGUGGUUCAGUGGGUUAAACCCCCGACUAGUGUCCAUGAGGAUUUGGGUUCAAUCCCUGACAUCGCUCAGUAGGUUAAGGAUCCGGCAUUGCCUCAAGCUUCUGUGUAGGCUGCAGACGAAGCUUAGAUCUGGUAUGGCUGUGGCUGCGGUGUGGGCUGGCAGCUGUAGCUUUGAUUUGACCCCUAGCCUGGGAACCUCCAUAUGCCCAGGUGCGGCCCUAAAAAAAGUGGAAAUAAAAAGGUCUUUAGUUAAACCAGUAUUUCUUGGCCUUUUUUUCAUUACUCCCUCACUCCCUGCAGCAAGGCAUUUUUGCCUUCUCUGCUCCCUCCAUGAAUCUCAAUACUACAUCUGUUUAUGUACAGUGACCUUUUAAGGGCCUUGCACUGUGCCAUAGCUAGAUUUUUUUCACCUCCCUGGGGGCAAUACCUCUCUGGUUUAGAAUGCAUGCAUUCAAUAGAUCCAAAGCUUGAAGUAGUGGUAGAAAUUUUCUGUUUCAAAGGAUCAUGAAAAUAAUGAGUAGAAACAGCAAUUACCUGAUAAUUACUUGUCAGACACACUCAUAGCACUUUACCUCUAUUUUACUUGUUUGAGCCUUGGCAUACCAUGACUAAUCUCUCAGUUAAACGAUGAAGAAAAGGAGGCACAGAGAGGGUAGCUGACUUGCCCAAGAUCACACAGAUGACACAUGGAAGAGAUGGAACUCAGGCCUGGGGUCCACACCCUGUACCUCUAGGCUAUGCUGGCUUCCCUCACUACCAAACAAAUGCUUGUUUUAUAUCACGCAUAUAAAAAUCAAGCAAGAUGCACCACAAACUUGCAGGAAGCCUGAAACCACCCAUAAGGAGACAGUUCCACAGGGUGGCGCAUCACACAUUAGCCAACUGGCCACUGCGCCUCGAAGACCCACAAGCCGACCCCGCUAAGGACAUGUGUGAGUGUCUGGAUAAU